rnacentral:rRNA from 1 species
UACGAAGGGGGCUAGCGUUGCUCGGAAUCACUGGGCGUAAAGCGCACGUAGGCGGCUUUUAAGUCAGAGGUGAAAUCCUGGAGCUCAACUCCAGAACUGCCUUUGAUACUGGAGAGCUUGAGUCCGGGAGAGGUGAGUGGAACUGCGAGUGUAGAGGUGAAAUUCGUAGAUAUUCGCAAGAACACCAGUGGCGAAGGCGGACUCACUGGCCCGGUACUGACGCUGAGGUGCGAAAGCGUGGGAG